AAUCGAGUGGGAACACUUCUGCACAGCUAGAUAGAUUAUAAGUGCGGGUGCGCAGAAGUGCUUCUGCUGCAUU
rnacentral:pre_miRNA from 1 species